AGCGGCGGACGGGUGAGUAACGCGUGGGUAACCUGCCCUGUACACACGGAUAACAUACCGAAAGGUAUGCUAAUACGAGAUAAUAUACUUUUAUCGCAUGGUAGAAGUAUCAAAGCUUUUGCGGUACAGGAUGGACCCGCGUCUGAUUAGCUAGUUGGUAAGGUAACGGCUUACCAAGGCGACGAUCAGUAGCCGACCUGAGAGGGUGAUCGGCCACAUUGGAACUGAGACACGGUCCAAACUCCUACGGGAGGCAGCAGUGGGGAAUAUUGCACAAUGGGCGAAAGCCUGAUGCAGCAACGCCGCGUGAGCGAUGAAGGCCUUCGGGUCGUAAAGCUCUGUCCUCAAGGAAGAUAAUGACGGUACUUGAGGAGGAAGCCCCGGCUAACUACGUGCCAGCAGCCGCGGUAAUACGUAGGGGGCUAGCGUUAUCCGGAAUUACUGGGCGUAAAGGGUGCGUAGGUGGUUUCUUAAGUCAGAGGUGAAAGGCUACGGCUCAACCGUAGUAAGCCUUUGAAACUGGGAAACUUGAGUGCAGGAGAGGAGAGUGGAAUUCCUAGUGUAGCGGUGAAAUGCGUAGAUAUUAGGAGGAACACCGGUUGCGAAGGCGGCUCUCUGGACUGUAACUGACACUGAGGCACGAAAGCGUGGGGAGCAAACAGGAUUAGAUACCCUGGUAGUCCACGCCGUAAACGAUGAGUACUAGCUGU
rnacentral:rRNA from 1 species